CCCGCCCCGCUUGCUCAGAAAUAUCACGUUAAUCACUCGCCCUUCUCUCUCUCUCUCUCUCUCUCUCUCUCUAUACAAAGGCAGAUUCCUGAACUAAAAGCCUCUCUCUCCUUCCCUAGUUCAAUUCUACACUAAUUUGGAGACACAUCCGGGCACCCAGGGGCCUCCUCCAGUCCGGCUCGGUGCAUUGCAAGCCAUCUGGGAGGAGGCGGAGGCGGGAGCGAGGGAGGAGGCUGAGCUCUCCGUCUCGCAGCUCCACAGCUAGGUCUCUGCCAACAGAAGAAAAAGCUGGAGACAAAAGGAGCUUUUGCUCCCUAAGGUGAAAAGCUGUAAUGAUGGAUGACAGAAUUAUAAAGCAGACAGAGGGAGUCGUUCUUCCAUCCCACAAGCGCCUAGAUAAGGAGUAGCUAUCCACCUUAACAAACGUGGAACAGGAAAAACAAACGUGGAACAGGAAAAAGAUUUGGAGUCUAUGGACUUUAGAAACAAAAUCUAUUGUUUGGAGACACAGGAGAUUAAAGACAUAGGGGUCCUUGUGAGAGAGGAGACCCUGGAGACUGGAACAGGGGUCCCUGUGAGAGAGGAGACCCUGGAGACUGGAACAGGGGUCCCUGUGAGAGAGGAGAUCCCGGAGAUUGGAACAAACGUGGAACAGGAACAAGAUUUGGAGUCUAUGGACUUUAGAAAUAAAAUCUAUUGUUUGGAACUCAAUGUUAUCUCUGAAGAAAUUAAUGAAGAUUCUAGAGAUAAAGUUAUCAAUGGCAUGGAUAAUCUUCUGGACUGGAUUGAUGUGAUGG